UACGUAGGGGGCUAGCGUUGUCCGGAAUCAUUGGGCGUAAAGAGCGUGUAGGCGGCCCGGUAAGUCCGCUGUGAAAGUCGGGGGCUCAACCCUCGAAUGCCGGUGGAUACUGUCGGGCUUGAAUCCGGGAGAGGGAUGUGGAAUUCCAGGUGUAGCGGUGAAAUGCGUAGAUAUCUGGAGGAACACCGGUGGCGAAGGCGGCAUCCUGGACCGGUAUUGACGCUGAUGCGCGAAAGCCAGGGGAGCAAACGGG
rnacentral:rRNA from 1 species